rnacentral:rRNA from 1 species
AUUGAACGCUGGCGGCAGGCCUAACACAUGCAAGUCGAACGGUAACAGGAAGCAGCUUGCUGCUUUGCUGACGAGUGGCGGACGGGUGAGUAAUGUCUGGGAAACUGCCUGAUGGAUGGGGAUAACUACUGGAAACGGUAGCUAAUACCGCAUAACGUCGCAAGACCAAAGAGGGGGACCUUCGGGCCUCUUGCCAUCGGAUGUGCCCAGAUGGGAUUAGCUAGUAGGUGGGGUAACGGCUCACCUAGGCCACGAUCCCUAGCUGGUCUGAGAGGAUGACCAGCCACACUGGAACUGAGACACGGUCCAGACUCCUACGGGAGGCAGCAGUGGGGAAUAUUGCACAAUGGGCGCAAGCCUGAUGCAGCCAUGCCGCGUGUAUGAAGAAGGCCUUCGGGUUGUAAAGUACUUUCAGCGGGGAGGAAGGGAGUAGAGAUAAUACCUUUGCUCAUUGACGUUACCCGCAGAAGAAGCACCGGCUAACUCCGUG